rnacentral:lncRNA from 1 species
GCUGAGUGACUAAAAGAUACUCCUCAAUGUAGCUCGAUCACCAACCUUAUAACAUUCUUAAACCAUACCAUCUUCCACCUCUCACAAAACCAGAUUUUUCAAUGCGAGAAAUCAUCACAACUCAACAAUUAUUUCUCAUAACAUUAUGUCUCUCUAAUGCAUCCUAUGUACCCAUUUUUUCAAUUCUUUUGCUCUCUCUUUUCUUUUCUUUUUUUCUUUUCUCCACCAUUCUUUUUUUUUUUCAACAACUUGUAGGGUACUAGGAUUUUCAAUUUGAAACCACAAAACAUAACUCAUGAUCAUUCAUCUCCACAAACCAACUAUUCCAUAUUAACAAUUUCCAAGCUCUCACCCAUAGCUAAAUCAAAGAAUAUGGAAAAAUAAGGCUCAAAGGGGUUGAACUAGGAUCAUAUAAAGAUAUAGGACAAAUAUGGGAUAAAUAGGCUAG